AGAGUUUGAUCCUGGCUCAGGAUGAACCCUAGCUCCGGCUUUCACCUGUCAGUCCAGGGGCGCAUGGGAGUAGCUUGCUACUCUUGAUGGCGACCGGCGUACGGGUGCGUAACACGUAUCCAAUCUACCCAUGGCUCGGGAAUAGCCUUUCCAAAGAAAGAUUAAUGCCCGAUGGUCUGUCAGUGAGACCUCUCGCAGGUAGUAAAGAUUAAUCGGCGAUGGAUGAGGAUGCGUUUGAUUAGGUAGAUGGCGGGGUAACGGCCCACCAUGCCGACGAUCAGUAGGGGUUCUGAGAGGAAGGUCCCCCACAUUGGAACUGAGACACGGUCCAAACUCCUACGGGAGGGAGCAGUGAGGAAUAUUGGUCAAUGGUCGAGAGACUGAACCAGCCGAGUAGCGUGAAGGAAGACUGCCCUAUGGGUUGUAAACUUCUUUUGUUUGGGAAUAAAGUGGGUCACGUGUGGCCUUUUGUAUGUACCAUACGAAUAAGCAUCGGCUAAUUCCGUGCCAGCAGCCGCGGUAAUACGGAAGAUGCGAGCGUUAUCCGGAUUUAUUGGGUUUAAAGGGAGCGUAGGGCGGCCUGUUAACCAGCGGUUAAAUGUCAAUGCCCAACAUUGGGCAUGCCGUUGAUACUGGUGGGCUUGAAUACGCACAAGGAUGGUGGAAUUCCCUUGWRKGGYGAAAUGCUUAKAUAUGACGAAKAACUCCSAUUGCRAMGSMRKCCAUCUGGGGUGCGAUUGACGCUGAGGCUCKRAAGKKSSGGAAUCAAWCAGGAUUAGAUACCCYGGKWRCUCCGCACCGUAAACGAUGAAUGGCUCGUUCYGGGGCGACACRCUGUCCGGGACCMAGGGAAACCAUUAAGCAUUCCACCUGAGGAGUACGCCGGCAACGGUGAAACUCAAAGGAAUUGACGGGGGCCCGCACAAGCGGAGGAACAUGUGGUUUAAUUCGAUGAUACGCGAGGAACCUUACCCGGGCUUGAACUGCUGAGGAAGGAUACAGAGAUGUAGACGCCCUUCGGGGCCUCAGUGGAGGUGCUGCAUGGUUGUCGUCAGCUCGUGCCGUGAGGUGUCAGGUUAAGUCCUAUAACGAGCGCAACCCCUACGUCCAGUUGCCAGCGGGUAAAGCCGGGGACUCUGGAGGGACUGCCGGCGCAAGCCGAGAGGAAGGUGGGGAUGACGUCAAAUCAGCACGGCCCUUACGUCCAGGGCGACACACGUGCUACAAUGGCCGGUACAGAGGGCAGCCACCCCGCGAGGGGGAGCGAAUCUCGAAAGCCGGUCUCAGUUCGGAUCGGAGUCUGCAACUCGACUCCGUGAAGUUGGAUUCGCUAGUAAUCGCGCAUCAGCCAUGGCGCGGUGAAUACGUUCCCGGGCCUUGUACACACCGCCCGUCAAGCCAUGAAAGUCCGGGGUACCUGAAGUCCGCGACCGAGAGGAGCGGCCUAGGGUAAAACGGGUAAUUGGGGCUAAGUCGUAACAAGGUAGCCGUA
rnacentral:rRNA from 1 species